GUAAUCAUUUCAUUGAAACUUCAAUGUACUUUUUUUCCUAAUGAAUCCUAUGCAUUCCAGGAGAGUAUAACUUAUCGUCAACAAGUGGAACAAGAGUUUAUAUUGAUUUGGACAUUCCUGAGACUGCUGAAUUCAAAGAUCAGCUGGUGGAAAAUAACCAACCAAUAGUACAAAUGCCCAAGCAAUUCAAACCACAAGUAUCAAUUGAAGAAGAGAUGAACAUCAACAGAAGAACUAUAACUUAAAUAAAAGAAGUUAUGUGGGACUCUGAUAAUAAGGAAACGAUCUUUACCUGUGAAGGAAAGAUUAUAAACAUUGACAUAGAUCGUCAUGGUUGGUACUUUAUCUCUUGCGAAGUAUGUCGUAGAAAGGUAAACUCAAAAGAUGAAUUUUUAUGGUGCGACAAUUGCAACAAAAAGGCAUGCUUCCCAAUCCCAAGGUAUAGAAUUCAAUUAAAGGUUAAAGAUAGCUCAGAAAUGGCCACAUUCAUUUUAUUUGAUUCAGAAGCAGAAAAAUUACUCAACAUAUCAGCCAAAGACCUUUUGAAUAAAUCUUUAGAGG